rnacentral:rRNA from 1 species
UACGUAGGGGGCAAGCGUUGUCCGGAAUCAUUGGGCGUAAAGAGCGUGUAGGCGGCCCGAUAAGUCCGCUGUGAAAGUCCAGGGCUCAACCCUGGGAUGCCGGUGGAUACUGUCGGGCUCGAGUCCGGAAGAGGAGUGUGGAAUUCCUGGUGUAGCGGUGAAAUGCGCAGAUAUCAGGAGGAACACCUAUUGCGAAGGCAGCUCGCUGGGACGUUACUGACGCUGAGACGCGAAAGCGUGGGGAGCAAACAGG